GUUGGGAGAGAUUUCUUCCACUCAAGUAAUAAUAAUAAUAAUAAUAAUUAUUUAUUAUUUAUACCCUGCCCAUCUGGCUGGGUUUCCCCAGCCACUCUGGGCGGCUUCCAUAGAAACCAAAAAUACACUAAAAUAUCACAGAUUAAAAACUUGCCUGAACAGGGCUGCCUUAAGAUGUCUUCUGAAUGUCAGGUAGUUAUUUAUCGCUUUGACAUCUGAUGGGAGGGCGUUCCACAGGGCAGGUGCCACUACCGAGAAGGCCCUCUGCCUGGUUCCCUGUAGCUUUGCUUCUUGCAAUGAGGGAACCGCCAGAAGGCCCUCGGCGCUGGACCUCAGCUUCCGGGCAGAACGGUGAGGGUGGAAUCGCUCCUUCAGGUAUUCUGGGCCGAGGCCAUUUAGGGCUUUAAAGGUCAACACCAGAACUUUGAAUUGUGCUCGGAUACGUACUGGGAGCCAAUGUAGGUCUUUCAGGACCGGUGUUAUGUGGUCUCGGCGGCCGCCCCCAGUCACCAUUCUAGCUGCCACAUUCUGGAUUAGUUGUAGUUUCCGAGUCACCUUCAAAGGUAGCCCCACGUAGAGCGCAUUGCAGUAGUCCAAGCGGGAGAUAACUAGAGCAUGCACCACUCUGGCGAGACAGUCCGCGGGCAGGUAGGGUCUCAGCCUGCGUACCAGGUGGAGUUGGUAGACAGCUGCCCUGGAUACAGAAUUGACCUGCGCCUCCAUGGACAGCUGUGAGUCCAAAAUGACUCCCAGGCUGCGCACCUGGUCCUUCAGGGGCACAGUUACCCUAUUCAGGACCAGGGAGUCCUCCACACCAGCCUGCCCCCUGUCCCCCCAAAACAGUAUUCUGUCUUGUCAGGAUUCAACUUCAAUCCAUUAGCCGCCAUCCAUCCUCCAACCGCCUCCAGGCACUCACACAGGACCUUCACCGCCUUCACUGGUUCUGAUUUGAAAGAGAGGUAGAGCUGGGUAUCAUCUGCAUAUUGAUGGACACCCAGUCCAAACCCCCUGAUGAUUUCUCCCAGCGGCUUCAUAUAGAUGUUAAAAAGCAUGGGGGUUAGGACGGAACCCUGAGGCACCCCACAAGUGAGGGCCCAGGGGUCUGAACACUCAUCCCCCACCACCACUUUCUGAACACGGCCCAGGAGGAAGGAGCGAAACCACUGUAUAACAGUGCCCCCAGCUCCCAGCCCCUCUAGACGGUCCAGAAGGAUGUUAUGGUCGAUUGUAUCAAAGGCCGCUGAGAGAUCCAGCAGAACCAGGAAACAACUCUCACCUUUGUCCCUAGCUCGCCGGAGAUCAUCAACCAGCGCGACCAAGGCAGUUUCAGUCCCAUGGUGAGGCCUGAAUCCUGAUUGGAAGGGAUCCAAAUGGUCCGCAUCCUCCAGGCGUGCCUGGAGUUGUUCAGCAACCACACGCUCAAUCACCUUGCCCAAGAAUGGAAGAUUUGAGACUGGGCGAUAGUUGGCCCUACUGGCCAGGUCUAAAGAUGGUUUUUUAGGAGCGGUUUAAUGACCGCCUCUUUCAGCGGAUCUGGGAAUGUUCCCUCACAGAGGGAAGCAUUCACCACCCCGCAGAGCCCAUCGCCCAGCCCUUCCCGGCUUGCUUUUAUUAGCCAGGAUGGGCAAGGAUCAAGGAGACAGGUGGUUGGUUUCACGCGUCCAAGCAGCCUGUCCACAUCCUCGGGGGUAAUGGAUUGAAAUUGAUUCCAUGCAACUUGACCAGACAGAGCUCUAGCACUCUCCCGCCCCAGCCCUGCUCCCACGGUGGUGUCUAGCUCCUUCAGAAUAUGAGUGAUUUUAUCUUCAAAAAACUUUGCAAAAUCGUUGCAGGAGAUCUUGGGGUCUUUACAAGGCCCCAGUGGUAAAGGUGGUUCCGUUAAAUUGCAAACCACCUGAAAGAGUCUCCUGCUACUAUUUUCUGCAGAUGCAAUAGAGACGGUUAAGAAAGUCUUCUUCGCCGUCGCUAUCGCCACUUGGUAGGCUCGACGUUGAGCUCUAACCUGUGUCCGGUCAGAUUCGGAGUGAGUUUUCUGCCACCGAUGCUCUAGCCGUCUCAGCGAUUGUUUCAUCGCCCUCAGCUCCGAAGAAAACCACGGGGCUGCCCGGGCUCCAUGCAAUCGGAGAGGGCGCUUCGGAGCCAGACAGUCGAUAGCCCUGGUUAACUCCACAUUCCAGCGGGCCACCAGGGAAUCAGCUGAAAGGCCAUCAACAUGGGAUAAAGCAUCCCCUACCACUCUCUGGAAACCAUUUGGAUCCAUUAAGUGGCGGGGGGCGGACCAUCUGAAUUGGUCCCACCUCCCUGCAGAGGGGAAGGGUCGCGGAGAAGUCCAGUUGCACCAGGAAGUGAUCUGACCAUGGCACUUUUACUUAGUGUCAGAUCACCCACGUCACUAGAGGUGAACACCAGGUCUAAGGCAUGUCCAUGACUAUGAGUUGGGCCAAACUUAUUCAGGGACAGCCCCAUGGAGGCCAUGCUUUCCAUGAAGUCCCGAGCAGCCCCUUGUAAGGUCGUGUCGGCAUGGAUGUUAAAAUCCCCUAGGACAACCAAACUAGGUGUCUCCAGGAGAAAAUCCGCCACGACCUGAAGCAGCUCGGACAGGGAAUCCUUGGUGCAGCGGGGAGGUCGGUACACCAAAAGGAAUCCUGUACUGCCCCUAUUGCCCAACUUCCAGAACAUGCACUCAGAAAACUGGAUCUUCCCAGUAGGACGCCUGGUGCAAGCUAGUGACUUCCUAAAAAUCACUGCAACCCCCCCCCUGCCCACAUGACCUGGGUUGCUGUGCGUAAGAGAAACCUGGUGGGCAAGCAGCGGCAAGGACAGGCUCAUCUGCUUCCUCCAACCAGGUCUCUGUCACACAUGCCAGGUCAAAUCCUCCAUCCACAAUCAGGUCGUGGAUGGCAGUGGUUUUAUUCAUCAUUGACCUGGCAUUACACAGCAACACCUUCAGGUCAUGUGGGUUUCCCCUGUUGAUUCCAGUAUCCAUCUGGUCAAGGCCAGACCCGGAGGCAGGGAUAGACUUCAAACUACGAGUAAACCUGCCUCCUCGGUAAUGACAUGGUCUGGUCUUAGCGUAACUCCGCCUCCUGCCCAUGAUCACCGAGAUCGGAUGUCCCAGUGCUUCCCACCCCCCCUGUGGAACUUGUCCCAGUCAUUGUGUUGGCUGGGGCCCCACUCCCAGGCAGCCCUGAUCCCGCCCCUUAAAACAAAACACAAACUAUACAGAACCAAUAAAACAACAACAACAACAAAAGGAACAGAACAAUUAUACUAAAAUUAAUCCCCAACCAAAUAUCCAUCCCACCCACCCACCCCCAACAAAGGAAAAGGAAAAAAAGAAAUAAAAAUUUAAAUUGCCACCGACUGCUUGAGGACAUUUUAAAGCACAUUAACCACCUGGAACAGGGAAGCAAUGGCAGAACACUUCCCACACUUCCUCAAAAGUUUGUUCCAAAUAAGGGCCUGGGCCACGCCCCCUGGGCCAGUUGGAAAAGGCCCUGGAAGGGAGCAGGCCCUGCAGUCCUCACCCAGCCGAUGUGCGGCACUGCUAUAGUAAACAAGUCGCUCUUGAUCAUGUGCUAAGAUCUGGACUUCCUCCAUGCAGACUGAAGGUGUAAAUAUGUGAAUAAAUCAUAUUUCUUAAAGAUACAGCAGUCUCCCCUGAGUCUUCAGUUCUCCAAAGGAGCACGAACCCUGUGUGACCCCUGGAAUCCCACGAAAUCUGGCCUCUCCCUUUCUUCUGGAGUCACCCACCUUCCUGAACGGAGAUGGUCCCUUCUGCACAAGGAGCACAAUCGUAGCAGCAAACGGCCUCCCCUUCUUUAGCCACUCUGGCAUAUCCAGGGCGACAGCUUUCGGUGCAUCUUGAAUGAGGCACCACCUAAAAACUAAGAAAAGGAGCACCCAAGGAGAUCAGCAUAAAGCACAGACAUCAUAUGAAGGCUCUGACUAAAAACGUGCUCAAAUAAAAAUCAUUUUUAGAAUACUGAGACCAGGUUAGAAAGCUUUAAAAUGGGAGUGAGACUCUUCCAAAUUUGGUAGAACUGUGGAGAACUCAUUUUCUUUCUGACAUAAA